GAUGAACGCUGGCGGUAUGCUUAACACAUGCAAGUCGAACGGACUCUUCGGAGUUAGUGGCGGACGGGUGAGUAACGCGUGAGAAUCUGGCUUUGGGUUCGGGACAACCACUGGAAACGGUGGCUAAUACCGGAUGUGCCGAGAGGUAAAAGAGAAAUUGCCUGAAGAUGAGCUCGCGUCUGAUUAGCUAGUUGGUGAGGUAAAGGCUCACCAAGGCAGCGAUCAGUAGCUGGUCUGAGAGGAUGACCAGCCACACUGGGACUGAGACACGGCCCAGACUCCUACGGGAGGCAGCAGUGGGGAAUUUUCCGCAAUGGGCGAAAGCCUGACGGAGCAAUACCGCGUGAGGGAAGAAGGCUCUUGGGUUGUAAACCUCUUUUCUUAGGGAAGAACAAAAUGACGGUACCUAAGGAAUCAGCAUCGGCUAACUCCGCG
rnacentral:rRNA from 1 species